rnacentral:lncRNA from 1 species
CUGCUUGUUGCCCAUGCUGCGUACACUGGUGAAGAUGCACUUCAGCUGAGUCAUCUGCCUCACCCCCAGCUCAAGCACCGCUCCCCUAGGCUCAUCUCUGUGUGAACUUGUGAAGAACAGCUCAACUUGCCAGCCUGGCUAGCAUUAUCUGUUUAUGCAGUAUUUCCUGAACCUUCUCAUCCCAGUGAUGUAAGGGUGAGGAGUGGAGACGUGGGAAAAUGGUGAAUUCACUCGGCCUUCCUUUCUGGCUAGAAGAAAUCCACUUCUUGAAAAGCAGUAAUGUCACCAUUGCCAUCAACUUCUAAACGUGUACGUCCACUGGGGACACAGUUCAGCCUGCCAGCAGCUCAUAUUAGACCUGGGUCCAAUCCUGCUGCUUUUAUUCCUUUAAAUCCCGAUUUCACAGGCAGGAUUGCCAGGAUUUUCUGAAGUACUCAGUGGAUGAGUCUGCUUAUCUGAUAGCAUCUGAUGCUUUCCCAAGGAAAGCAAGGAAAUUAGACAGUGUUCAUAAAGCACAGCA